CCUACGGGCGGCUGCAGUGGGGAAUAUUGGACAAUGGGGGGAACCCUGAUCCAGCCAUGCCGCGUGUGUGAAGAAGGCCCUCGGGUUGUAAAGCACUUUCAGUGAGGAAGAACGCCUGGUGGUUAAUACCCAUCAGGAAAGACAUCACUCACAGAAGAAGCACCGGCUAACUCCGUGCCAGCAGCCGCGGUAAUACGGAGGGUGCGAGCGUUAAUCAGAAUUACUGGGCGUAAAGCGCGCGUAGGUGGCUUGAUAAGCCGGUUGUGAAAGCCCCGGGCUCAACCUGGGAACGGCAUCCGGAACUGUCAAGCUAGAGUGCAGGAGAGGAAGGUAGAAUUCCCGGUGUAGCGGUGAAAUGCGUAGAGAUCGGGAGGAAUACCAGUGGCGAAGGCGGCCUUCUGGACUGACACUGACACUGAGGUGCGAAAGCGUGGGUAGCAAACAGGAUUAGAUACCCGUGUAGUC
rnacentral:rRNA from 1 species